CGUUAGCAAACGGAUCCAACAUUUUUUUUUCUUUUUGGAUGGAACAAAUCUCAAACCCAGGAAUUUCAUCAUCCCACAAAUUACUCCUGCCAUUUUUCCCAUCUGAAUCCAAAAGACACUCCUGGGCAAGAAGAAACCAAACAUUCUUUUACAUCUGAAGUCGUGAUCUCCUACAACCUUGAAAUUUUCAGUUCUUUCAAUCACAAAUGAUGGAUCCACCCAGCUUAAUCCCUUCAAACCGUCCAUGGAUGAUCAUUGAAAGCCCAAUGGAGGCCAGCUUCUGAUACAAGGAGUCAAAGAUUGAAAGUGAUGGUGAUAGCUUCUAAUUUCAGGUUCACUUGAAAGCUUGGAUGUUGAUGAUCUAUGAUUGCACACUAAUUAUGCGCGUGGCUAUCACUGAGUAGCAUCCACAGUGGCUUUUAGGAUUUAGUUCUUUGGAAAAAAGACAGUAGUAGAGAUCACAAUAUUUAAGAAGAAUAUGUA